UCUGGGGUGGCGGAAAAGGUAGACGCGAUAGAUUGUUUCUCUAUUGUCUUGAGCAAGGCGUGGUGGUUCGAGUCCACCUCCCAGAGCCA
rnacentral:tRNA from 1 species